rnacentral:rRNA from 1 species
GUCUUUUUGUUUAAUAAUAGAAAGUCUGGCCUGCUCAAUGAAUUUUAAAUAGCUGCGGUAUUUUGACCGUACAAAGGUAGCAUAAUCAAUAGUUUUUUAAUUGAAAACUGGAAUGAAGGGUUUGAUAAAAAAGUGACUGUCUCAUUUUAAUUUAUUUAUAAUUUUAUUUUUAAGUUCAAAAGCUUAAAUGUAUUUAAAAGACGAGAAGACCCUAUAGAGUUUUAUUUUUACAAAGUUUUAUUUUUUUUAGAAUUCAUAAAAUAUUAUUUUUUAAAAAUUGGAUUGGGGUGAUUGAAAAAUUUAAUAAACUUUUUCUUAUAAUUUCAAUAAUGAUUGUUUAAUUGAUCCAUAAAAAUGAUUAAAAGAUUAAAUUACCUUAGGGAUAACAGCGUAAUUUUUUUUGAGAGUUCUAAUCAAAAAAAGAGAUUGCGACCUCGAUGUUGGAUUAAAAUUAAUAUUUGGUGAAGAAGCUGAAUAAUUAGGUCUGUUCGACCUUUAAAAUUUUACA